GAUUCGUCACACUAUCAUUAACUGAAUCCAUAGGUUAAUGAGGCGAACCGGGGGAACUGAAACAUCUAAGUACCCCGAGGAAAAGAAAUCAACCGAGAUUCCCCCAGUAGCGGCGAGCGAACGGGGAGGAGCCCAGAGCCUGAAUCAGCAUGUGUGUUAGUGGAAGCGUCUGGAAAGGCGCGCGAUACAGGGUGACAGCCCCGUACACAAAAGCGCAUGUGCUGUGAGCUCGAUGAGUAGGGCGGGACACGUGGUAUCCUGUCUGAAUAUGGGGGGACCAUCCUCCAAGGCUAAAUACUCCUGACUGACCGAUAGUGAACCAGUACCGUGAGGGAAAGGCGAAAAGAACCCCGGCGAGGGGAGUG
rnacentral:rRNA from 2 species